rnacentral:rRNA from 1 species
AUUGAACGCUGGCGGCAUGCCUAACACGUGCAAGUCGAGCGGAGGAAGGGAGCUUGCUCCUGGAGUCAGCGGCGGACGGGUGAGUAAUGCCUAGGAAUCUGCCUGGUAGUGGGGGAUAACGUCUUGAAACGGGCGCUACUACCGCAUACGUCCUGAGGGAGCAAGUGGGGGAUCUUCGGACCUCACGCUAUCAGAUGAGCCUAGGUCGGAUGGGCUAGUUGGUGGGGUAAAUGCCUACCUAGGCGACUAUCCGUAACUGGUCUGAGAGGAUGGUCGGUCACACGGGAAGUGAGACGGGGCCAAGGCGCCUGCGGUAGGCAGCAGUGGGGAAUGUUGGGCAAUGGGGGAAAGCAUGAUACAGCGGGGCGGCGUGUGUGAAGAAGGUGUUGCGUUUGUGAAGCACGUUAAGGUGUGGGGAAGGGCAGUAAGUUGAUACGUAGCGGGAUUGACGGUACCAGCUAAAGAAGCACCGGCUAACUACGUG